AGGACGAACGCUGGCGACGUGCCUAAAACAUGCAAGUCGAACGAGGUAGCAAUAUCUAGUGGCGAACGGCGGAGUAAUACGUGAGCAACGUGCCUAGAAGACCGGGACAAACGCAGAAAUGCCAUGAAUACCGGAUGUUGUGCCCUAUUGAUUUUAGGUCACUAAAUGGAUUUAUUCGCUUCUAGAGCGGCUCACGGCCCAUCAGGUAGUUGGUAGGGUAACGGCCUACCAAGCCGACGACGGGUAGCGGGUCUGAGAGGAUGACCCGCUCGAGUGGGACUGAGACACGGCCCACACACCUACGGGUGGCAGCAGUUGGGAAUCUUGCGCAAUGGGGGAAACCCUGACGCAGCGACGUCGCGUGGAGGACGAAGGAUCGUAGGUCUGUAAACUCCUUUUUCACGGAAGACUUAGGACGGUACCGUGAGAAUAAGCACCGGCUAACUACGUGCCAGCAGCCGC
rnacentral:rRNA from 1 species